GACGAACGCUGGCGGCGUGCUUAACACAUGCAAGUCGAACGAAGUGGCGAACGGGUGAGUCACGCGUAAUCAACCUGCCCUUAAGAGGGGGACAACAGUUGGAAACGACUGCUAAUACCGCAUACUGUAGGAGGGGAUUGCGUCGGGUUAGCUAGUUGGUGGGGUAACGGCCUACCAAGGCGAUGAACAGUAGCCGGGUUGGGAGGGUGAUCGGCCACAUUGGGACGGAGACACGGCCCAGACUCCUACGGGAGGCAGCAGUGGGGAAUCUUCCGCAAUGGACGGAAGUCUGACGGAGCAACGCCGCGUGAGUGAUGACGGCCUUCGGGUUGUAAAGCUCUGUUAAUCGGGACGCGGUACCGGAAUAGAAAGCCACGGCUAACUACGUGCCAGCAGCCGCGGUAAUAC
rnacentral:rRNA from 1 species